CAGAUCUGUGCAAAAUAAUUUUAGUUAGACUAAAAUUUUCAAGCAAUAUGCUUCAUUUUAUUAAUACACCUAAAAACUAAUGAAAUAUUGUUUAAUAUAUCUUUUAACAAAAUUUAAAAUUAUGUUUUCCCUCCCCUAUGUGCUUAAUGUGCACUAGAAACAUUUAGUGGGCCCUCUGAUUCACUCUUUUUGCGCAAAGUGGCCAGAAACUCAAUGGAUCUUGCUAAUUAGGAAUUCCCAGAUGACAAAGAAUCAGCAUGACGACUCUGUGCUACUUCUCUUGUCACUCCAGGAUAGGCUGCAUGGGUUGAUGAAAGGGAGAAUCUGCACAGCUCUGGCUAUUCCCACUUGCCAAAAUGGUCACUUGGGACCAAAGAGCAGUCUGAAGGCAUGGCCAGACCUGAGAAUCAGGCCAUGAAUAUUCUAUUAGCUUGCAGACAAUUGUGGGCUCUUCUUUCCUAGACUGACUAGCAUCCUAUAAUUUUCCUUCUAUAGUAUUAGACACUUAUUUUAAACAUUUAACAAAAAUAUCUGUUUUCUAGAAUUAGCCAUUUGCUCGUCAUUCUUUCUGUACCUGAAAACAAGCUCUAUGCAAUUUAUAUAAGCAAUACAUAUUAUUUAAAUCUCUGCUAGUUCUUUUAAGGAUAAAAUGCAUUCUAAACACUUUUUUAUGAAGGCAAAUGCCAAUGAAUUUGCUAGGCAAAAAUAUAUAUAUUACAAAAGGUUAUGUUCCCUGCCCAAGUGACAGAAAGGAAAAGAGUAGGUCCUGUUCUUAAAUAACUAAAGUUGCCCUCAUUUUGGGACAGAUUCUUCUGUCUAAUAUAUGCCUUAAAUGUCCAGCACAGUUUUCCCAAGUACAGUACUCUCUGAAAUGUUUUUCAUUUGAGAAUGAAAUAUAUAUAAACUUUUAUUUAAAAAAUUGUAUAUUUUUAAUAAAAAGUAAAAAUUGCACUACAACAUAUCUAAUUUCUCAUUCUUAAUUUCCUUGUAAUAACUGAUACAGAAUACAGACCUACCUUUCUUCAUUCAAAUGACUCCACUGAGAUUGUUCUCCCUAGAAUAAGAUCAAAAGUAAAAAAAAAAAAAAAUCUGAAUUUUUUAUAACAUAUAUUUUAUUUUGUAAGACAAAAUGAUUUUUUUCCUUCUAAAGUUCCUAAAGCAGUGUUAGACCUGAAUUCAGGUGAAAUAUACUUAUCUAAGCCUUUACUCAAAGAGAUACUAUUAUAAACAUUGCAGACCAAACUCAUUGCUGAUGUAAUUCUCUGAAGACAACUUACACCUCCAUGAAGUUAAAUGUGCAGAGUAAGUUUCGGAUUUCCAGAGCUGAUGCAAAAGUCCUAGCAAUCAGAGCAGCAGGCCCAGAUGGUGUGGCAGGCAGACCAACAGAAAGUUCUCCAGGACUUUAUGAAGGAACAGAUGGCCGUACAGCAUGGGAUACUGCAGAAUCUGGAUCCACAGCUCAUGCAAACCCUCCAAAAAUAAAAUGAAAUAUAUUAAAGUUGGUACUUGCCGCUGCCGCCAGCACCACCACCAAGAUUCUUCUGCAGUUUUGAAAUGUCAUGUCCUUUUUGAGCCAAC